rnacentral:rRNA from 1 species
AUUGAACGCUGGCGGAAUGCUUUACACAUGCAAGUCGAACGGCAGCACGGGGCAACCUGGUGGCGAGUGGCGAACGGGUGAGUAAUACAUCGGAACGUGCCCAAUCGUGGGGGAUAACGUAGCGAAAGUUACGCUAAUACCGCAUACGAUCUACGGAUGAAAGCGGGGGAUCGCAAGACCUCGCGCGAAUGGAGCGGCCGAUGUCAGAUUAGGUAGUUGGUGGGGUAAAGGCGCACCAAGCCAACGAUCUGUGGCUGGUCUGAGAGGACGACCAGCCACACUGGGACUGAGACACGGCCCAGACUCCUACGGGAGGCAGCAGUGGGGAAUUUUGGACAAUGGGCGCAAGCCUGAUCCAGCCAUUCCGCGUGCAGGAUGAAGGCCUUCGGGUUGUAAACUGCUUUUGUACGGAACGAAACGGUUCUCUCUAAUACAGGGGGCUAAUGACGGUACCGUAAGAAUAAGCACCGGCUAACUACGUGCCAGCCGCCGCGGUAAUAC